GUGUGCUUUCCUCCCGGAAGUGGGAGAGUGGGUGGGACUAGCCCGCAGGCCCGCAAGCCCCGCAGAGAGCAGUUGAGACUUCCAGUGCGUCGUCCUCCAGGGGCUAGAGCGCCGAGGUGCGCCAGCCGCUCCAGCGCUGCGGCUCUGUGUUAGGGCAUCCAAGUUGGCGCUCCAGUCUGAGAAUGGUAGAUUGUGGCUUCAUCAUCGGUCCCCGCACGGGGAAGGGAGUCGUCUCUUCAGAUCCCCUCUUUUUGUUUUGUGUCCCCAGCAUACUCAGUCCAGCGGCGCUAGAUGAGCAUUGUUGGUCUUCAGUCAAUUCAUACUGAUACAGCUGAACCAGUUAUUCAAAGCCAUCCAUUUUUAUUAGUCACAGUGUUUGUUGUUAUCCAUCAGCACAUGGACUACUCCAAUUAUUAAGAAUUUUGAACAUCAUUCCUACAGAAACCAGGACUUUUGAAGAAAUGGCUGACUCCAAAUAUGGCACAGGAAACAGAAAAAAAUGUACCUGGGAUAUCUUGUCACUUCUGAAAGCAAGGGCAACAUCAAUGAAAAAAAUCAAAGUAUACCUGGUAAAGGGUCCAAAACAUCACUAUGAGUAGGAAGAUAAAGCAACCAAAGUCACAACAAGAGAGCAAGUAAUACAUUCGAAAAAACAGGCCUGAAGGGCCAGGCCCUGGACAGUGUAUAACCCCUCUUUAAUAUAGUAGUCUCACAGGUGCAGGACCAUAACAAGCUUUUAAAACACAUAAGGGAUGGG